CCACAUUUCACAGAAGAAUAAAAAAAGAGCUGCUUUACUCCCGUCCCCUGCCGCCGCCGCCGGCCGCCCCACCACACUCCCCGACGGAGCUCCGGCGGGGGAGGCGGCGAUCUAGACCGCCCCCCGCCCCGGACACCCUCGCGCUCCCAUGGCGCCAGCCACUCUCCCGUGCCUGAGCAUUUUCCUUUUCCCGCAGCCGCCACCGCCGCCGUCUCCGGUAGCUCGCCGCCGCACCGAGAAAGGAUUCCUUCCGAGCACUUGGACAUGGAUUGCUGCUGGUACAGAUCCGGCAAGGAGACGAGGACGAAUUUCGGUGAGGCUGAACUCCGGCUAGUACAUGGUAAACGACAACUAUUUACCAUGGCUUGUACGCCAGUUUGCAGUCUGUUGUGGAAUCGGAUGUCUUGCCCCGGUACUUACACUACAUGGUGACAGUAGCAAAUUAGCUAACUGUAAGUCGAGCAGCAAUUUCUGAAACACACAAAUGCCACCACAUGGUGACCGAUGGCUU